UACGUAGGGGGCAAGCGUUGUCCGGAUUUAUUGGGCGUAAAGAGCGUGUAGGCGGUUUGGUAGGUCCGCUGUGAAAACUCGAGGCUCAACCUCGAGACGCCGGUGGAAACCAUCAGGCUAGAGUCCGGAAGAGGAGAGUGGAAUUCCUGGUGUAGCGGUGAAAUGCGCAGAGAUCGGGAAGAACAUCGGUGGCGAAAGCGCUCUACUGGACCGCAACUGACACUCAGGGACGAAAGCUAGGGGAGCGAAUGGG
rnacentral:rRNA from 1 species